UGAGGAAUAUUGGUCAAUGGGCGCAAGCCUGAACCAGCAACGCCGCGUGGAGGAUGACGGCCUUCGGGUUGUAAACUCCUUCUGCAGGGGAAAAGGAAGGAUGGUACCCUGCGAAUAAGUCACGGCUAACUACGUGCCAGCAGCCGCGGUAAUACGUAGGUGACGAGCGUUAUCAGGAAUUAUUGGGCGUAAAGCGCACGCAAGCGGUUGGACAAGUCCGGCGUGAAAUCUCCCAGCUUAACUGGGAGCGGUCGCGGGAAACUGUUCGACUUGAGGCGAUGAGAGGGGUGCAAAAUUCCCGGUGUAGUGGUGGAAUGCGUAGAUAUCGGGAGGAAUACCAGUGGCGAAAGCGGCACCCUGGCGUCGUACUGACGCACAUGUGCGAAAGCGUGGGGAGCGAA
rnacentral:rRNA from 1 species